rnacentral:lncRNA from 1 species
UGAAUAUCAGCACGGAUCACUGCAAAGAAGUUGGAACUCAUCUCACAUGAACUUCUCAGGUUCUCUUACAAGACCACCAACAUUCUUCAAACAUCAGUGAAAUAAAACAGGAGGAGGGUUUCGAGCUCUGGAUCCUCAGCCUGGAAAUGUCACAAUUUAAUCCCAAAGGUUUGCUGUGAAGUUGUAAGCAUGACAGUGUGAAACUCGACAGAUUAUUCUUGAAUUCUUUGUUUGUUUUCGUUGUGACCCGACUCUCAUAAAAUUUAUGUUUUCUUCCAAA